rnacentral:tRNA from 1 species
AAAGUUUUAAGUUAAAUAAAACUAUUAGCCUUCAAAGUUAAAAAUAUGAAUACCAUAAACUUUA